rnacentral:rRNA from 1 species
UACGAAGGACCCAAGCGUUAUCCGGAUUUAUUGGGUUUAAAGGGUGCGUAGGCGGAUUAUUAAGUCAGUGGUGAAAGCCUUCAGCUUAACUGAAGAACUGCCAUUGAUACUGAUGAUCUUGAGUAUGAUUGAGGUGGGCGGAAUGUGUCAUGUAGCGGUGAAAUGCUUAGAUAUGACACAGAACACCGAUUGCGAAGGCAGCUCACUAAGCCAUAACUGACGCUGAUGCACGAAAGCGUGGGGGAGCAAACAGG